rnacentral:snRNA from 1 species
GUGCUCGCUUCGCAGCACAUGUACUAAAAUUGGAACGAUCCAGAGAAGAUGAGCAUGGCCCCUGCACAAGGAUGACAUGCAAAUUCGGGAAGCGUUCCAUAUUAAA